UACGAGGGGUGCAAGCGUUGCUCGGAAUUAUUGGGCGUAAAGGGUAGGUAGGUGGUCUCAUUUGUCUGGGGUGAAAUCCUUGAGCUUAACUCAAGAACUGCCCCAGAAACGGUGAGACUCGAGUCCUGGAGAGGGUCGUGGAAUUCCCGGUGUAGCGGUGAAAUGCGUAGAGAUCGGGAGGAACACCAGUGGCGAAGGCGACUACCUGGCCUGUUCUUGACGCUGAGGCGCGAAAGCUAGGGGAGCAAACGGG
rnacentral:rRNA from 1 species